CACUUUCCUCUCUCGUCUCUCGUCUCUCGUCUCUCUCUCCUCACGCCACUCUAAUUCUCUCGUUGUUCUCAAACAGUAACAAUGGCGUCAUCUUCAAAGCAAAAUCCUUCUUCUUCAAAACCCCCAAGGCAUCCAUCUCCCAUCAAGGCCUCACUUCCCACGAAAUCCGGUGUACCGGAAGAAUCCCAAUUUCGAAACCCUAAUAACCCGUCGACGUCGUCUAGUUCACCGAUUUCGAUGGCGGUGGAGGAUCAGGUCCUGGGGCGUUCCACUCACCUCACCCGCCCGGAGCUUCUCCGACGCAGAUCGCACAAUUUGAAGCAGCUGGCCAGAUGCUAUAGAGACCAUUACUGGGCUCUAAUGGAGGAUCUCAAGGCGCAACACAGAUAUUAUAGCUGGAACUAUGGUGUUAGUCCUUUCAAAGAUGAGAGUCAUCAGAAAAACAAGAGACGUAAGGUAGAAGGACAGACUGGGGAUGAGAUCGAAGGUAGCGGAGACAAUGAUAAUAACAACAAUGAUGGCGUUAAGGCUGGUAACUGUGUGGCUUGUGGUAAUGGUUGCAAAUCCAAGGCCAUGGCACUCACCAAUUACUGUCAGCUUCAUAUUCUCAUGGAUAAAAAGCAGAAGCUUUACACCUCUUGUACUUACGUCAACAAAAGAGCUCAGUCAAAAGCAAUAACUUGUCCAAAACCAACACUUGCAUCAACUGUUCCUGCCCUGUGUAACGUGCACUUCCAGAAAGCCCAAAAGGAUGUUGCUCGUGCGUUGAAGGAUGCUGGUCAUAACGUUUCUUCAGCAAACAAGCCUCCCCCGAAACUACAUGACAUAAUAGCCGCAUUUGUGCAUCAUAUUCAAAUAAAAAGAAAGGCUCCACGAAAAGAGGCCAAAUUGAAAAGCUCAGUGAAAGAAGAAAUUACAAGCUAAAUCAGACAGUUAUAGUGAACAGAAGCUGUUUGUUUCCAUAAUUGUGCAAAAUGGAAGAUUGAGCUGUGAGUGCCAAGGUUACAACUUGCAAGGAGCUUUAGUUAACUGGAGAGCAACAUUGACACAAUGGUUCAGAUUAAGCGUUUAGAUUGAAAUGAGGAUAUCUAAGCACUAUGAUAAUACCAUUAUCUAAGUUCUAUAGUAGAAUUCCCAAAUCAUUUAGCUACUGGUAGCUUUCAUGGCUAAGUGAAAAAAAGAUGUUUCUUUGGGUAGUUGCUGUUGUGACCUUUCACCUUUCAGUACUCCUUAAUCUAAAUCGAUUUGUUCUUGCA